rnacentral:lncRNA from 13 species
UAGUUGUGGUGGUUGUAUUAUUCUAGUUGUGGUGGUUGUAUUAUUCUAGUUGUGGUGGUUGUAUUAUUCUAGUUGUGGUGGUUGUAUUAUUCUAGUUGUGGUGGUUGUAUUAUUCUAGUUGUGGUGGUUGUAUUAUUCUAGUUGUGGUGGUUGUAUUAUUCUAGUUGUGGUGGUUGUAUUAUUCUAGUUGUGGUGGUUGUAUUAUUCUAGUUGUGGUGGUUGUAUUAUUCUAGUUGUGGUGGUUGUAUUAUUCUAGUUGUGGUGGUUGUAUUAUUCUAGUUGGUUGUAUUAUUCUAGGUGGUUGUAUUAUUCUAGUUGUGGUGGUUGUAUUAUUCUAGUUGUGGUGGUUGUAUUAUUCUAGUUGUGGUGGUUGUAUUAUUCUAGUUGUGGUGGUUGUAUUAUUCUAGUUGUGGUGGUUGUAUUAUUCUAGUUGUGGUGGUUGUAUUAUUCUAGUUGUGGUGGUUGUAUUAUUCUAGUUGUGGUGGUUGUAUUAUUCUAGUUGUGGUGGUUGUAUUAUUCUAGUUGUGGUGGUUGUAUUAUUCUAGUUGUGGU